ACAAAUUAAAGCUAAAAGCUUAGGGGCUCAUAAUCUCUAGAAUUAUAUUGUU
rnacentral:tRNA from 1 species